rnacentral:rRNA from 1 species
CAAUAGCGUAUAUUAAAGUUGUUGCGGUUAAAAAGCUCGUAGUUGGAUUUCUGCUGAGGAUGACCGGUCCGCCCUCUGGGCAGGUAUCUGGCUCAGCCUUGGCAUCUUCCUGAAGAACGCAGCUGCACUUGACUGUGUGGUGCGGUAUUUAGGACAUUUACUUUGAGGAAAUUAGAGUGUUUCAAGCAAGCGCACGCCUUGAAUACAUUAGCAUGGAAUAAUAAGAUAGGACCUCGGUUCUAUUUUGUUGGUUUCUAGAACUGAGGUAAUGAUUGAUAGGGAUAGUUGGGGGCAUUCGUAUUUAACUGUCAGAGGUGAAAUUCUUGGAUUUGUUAAAGACGGUCUACUGCGAAAGCAUUUGCCAAGGAUGUUUUCAUUGA